rnacentral:tRNA from 1 species
GCCUUCGUGGUGUAGGAUGACCACGCUGGGCUAGUACUCCAGAGAUCUGUAGUUCGAGUCCCGGCGAAGGCG